ACGGAGGAUCCAAGCGUUAUCCGGAAUCAUUGGGUUUAAAGGGUCCGUAGGCGGGCAGCUAAGUCAGUGGUGAAAGUCUGCAGCUCAACUGUAGAAUUGCCAUUGAAACUGGUUGUCUUGAAUUAAUGUGAAGUGGUUAGAAUAAGUAGUGUAGCGGUGAAAUGCAUAGAUAUUACUUAGAAUACCGAUUGCGAAGGCAGAUCACUAACAUUAUAUUGACGCUGAGGGACGAAAGCGUGGGGAGCGAACAGG
rnacentral:rRNA from 1 species